rnacentral:rRNA from 1 species
UACGUAGGUGGCAAGCGUUGUCCGGAUUUACUGGGCGUAAAGAGCGCGCAGGCGGUCGUUCAAGUCGCGUGUGAAAGCCCCCGGCUCAACUGGGGAGGGUCACGCGAUACUGAUCGACUCGAAGGCAGGAGAGGGAAGUGGAAUUCCCGGUGUAGUGGUGAAAUGCGUAGAUAUCGGGAGGAACACCAGUGGCGAAGGCGGCUCACUGGCUCGUAUCUGACGCUCAGGCGCGGACAGCGUGGGGAUCGAAACAAGG